AGGAGCCGUGCGAGAUGAAAGUCUCAUGCACGGUUUUGCAUGAGAGAAAGAAGCGAGGAAUCCUCUUUUCUUUCCCAAUCCGUAUAAGAGGAAAGAAGGGUCCGGCCCAUUCCAAU
rnacentral:ncRNA from 1 species